UCGGAUCAAGGGUGUCGAGAGGGUCCUGGGUCCUGUUCCUUUGCCUUUCAAAAAGACUUUUUACGGAUUGAGAAUUUUUAAAUACCACUAGGGGAAAGGUGAAGGUUCUUUGCAGCCUUCAGUGUUGAAAUGGACGAAGGUAAGGAAGGCAAAUCAUUUUAAGACGAAAUCUCCGAUUUUUUAAAAAAGGAGGAAAAAAGCAGGGUGGCUAAGGAUAAAGAAAGAGGACUUGAGAAAAUGUGGAGAAUGAAAAACAGGAGAGCAGCGAGCAAAAGCAAAGAUCCAGAGUUCAAAGAGACUGGCAGAAGGAAAUAGCUGCGGGCUGAGUGCUGAAGAGGGGAGGGACUGACGGCUGCCGGCCGGUAGGAGCGCGGAGCUGCGCUGCGGCGGCCCAGGAGCUGCUGCGGUUCCCGCUGCUCGGGGAGCAGGCGGUGUGUGCGCGGCUGCGAAGUCGAGGUUGAAACUGCACCGCCAAGGCGCGCUCCUGCUGUGUCUGGAGCUCCGGCGUCUCCUCUGCCUCCCAGCUCAGCGCCUCCCACCCUCCUUCCCUCCUCCUCUUCCCAGCUCCCCCGCCCUCUGCUGCUCGCAGCCUCGCCAGUGAGAAUCUACUGUAAGUGUGAGUUGCUUCGACGAAGUCACACACCCACGGAGGGAAGUAAUCUGGAGGCUGCCUUGGCAUGUACAGGAAGCCUUCCUGCAGACAUCCACAGUGAACAAGUCUAAGGACAAUAGCUUUCGUUGGCCCCCAAUAGAAGGCAUUUUUAGUGAUGUGUGGCCUCACCACUUAAAUCCAGUUUAUUGAAUCUGAAGUGAUUUGCUCCUCUUUCUGGACUACACAAUAAACACCCUCCAACGUCCCCAGCCAUGCUCUUCCCAUCAUUUGGCUGAAAGGGGAGGAAUUCAAGGCCUUAGAGUGGGGAAGCUACAAUUUGGAAGAAUCCUGGAAGCACAGAUUACCCUGUGAAGCAGCAUCCCCAUGAGGGUCUCUUUCUUCUGUGAUAUAAGCAAGAAAUAAAUGAAUUGUGCAAAUCC
rnacentral:lncRNA from 1 species